GUGUCAGCAGCCGCGGUAAGACGAACCGAGCGAACGUUGUUCGGAAUCACUGGGCUUAAAGGGCGCGUAGGCGGAUUUUCAAGUCCGGGGUGAAAUCCCACAGCUCAACUGUGGAACUGCCUCGGAUACUGGGAGUCUCGAGGGUGGUAGGGGUAUGCGGAACUAUCGGUGGAGCGGUGAAAUGCGUUGAUAUCGAUAGGAACUCCGGUGGCGAAGGCGGCAUACUGGACCACAUCUGACGCUGAGGCGCGAAAGCCAGGGGAGCAAACGGGAUUAGAUACCCCCGUAGUCC
rnacentral:rRNA from 1 species